CCUUUACUAUAGCUUGACACUGAACAUUGAGCCUUGAUGUGUAGGAUAGGUGGGAGGCUUUGAAGUGUGGACGCCAGUCUGCAUGGAGCCGACCUUGAAAUACCACCCUUUAAUGUUUGAUGUUCUAACGUUGACCCGUGAUCCGGGUUGCGGACAGUGUCUGGUGGGUAGUUUGACUGGGGCGGUCUCCUCCUAAAGAGUAACGGAGGAGCACGAAGGUUGGCUAAUCCUGGUCGGACAUCAGGAGGUUAGUGCAAUGGCAUAAGCCAGCUUGACUGCGAGCGUGACGGCGCGAGCAGGUGCGAAAGCAGGUCAUAGUGAUCCGGUGGUUCUGAAUGGAAGGGCCAUCGCUCAACGGAUAAAAGGUACUCCGGGGAUAACAGGCUGAUACCGCCCAAGAGUUCAUAUCGACGGCGGUGUUUGGCACCUCGAUGUCGGCUCAUCACAUCCUGGGGCUGAAGUAGGUCCCAAGGGUAUGGCUGUUCGCCAUUUAAAGUGGUACGCGAGCUGGGUUUAGAACGUCGUGAGACAGUUCGGUCCCUAUCUGCCGUGGGCGCUGGAGAACUGAGGGGGGCUGCUCCUAGUACGAGAGGACCGGAGUGGACGCAUCACUGGUGUUCGGGUUGUCAUGCCAAUGGCACUGCCCGGUAGCUAAAUGCGGAAGAGAUAAGUGCUGAAAGCAUCUAAGCACGAAACUUGCCCCG
rnacentral:rRNA from 1 species